rnacentral:rRNA from 1 species
UACGUAGGGCGCAAGCGUUAUCCGGAAUUAUUGGGCGUAAAGAGCUCGUAGGCGGUCUGUCGCGUCGGUCGUGAAAACUUGGGGCUUAACCCUGAGCUUGCGGUCGAUACGGGCAUGACUGGAGUUCGGUAGGGGAGACUGGAAUUCCUGGUGUAGCGGUGAAAUGCGCAGAUAUCAGGAGGAACACCGGUGGCGAAGGCGGGUCUCUGGGCCGAUACUGACGCUGAGGAGCGAAAGCGUGGGGGAGCGAACAGG